AAAUAUUUCUAAUUGUAAUAAUUGUUGCUAUAAUUAAUUCAUGUAGGUAUACGCUUGCUAAAAGAAACUCCACUAGAGAAGCAUCAUAAUAACAAGAUCCAAAAUGACGAGAUUAAUGGAAAAAGGAAAGAAGAAAAAAUGUCGGUAAAAUCGUCACCGACGACGACGACUGAAAAACGGCAACCGGAGAUGUAUCCCGACAUAUUAGAUAUUGCAGGAAUGGAUUAUUCUCAGGCAAGAAGAAAACCUCCUAUACACAACUAGUUAACUAGUGUUUUCUAGUGAGAGAAAGCUUAGAAAAGCUAGAGAGAUGAAUCAAUCAAGAAGUUUGUCUUAAGGGAUAUAGACAGGCGUACAUAUAUAUAUAAUUAGACACCAAUCAUAUAUUUAUAUAUAUGUUUUUUUUUUUUUUUGCAAUUUUUAAGGAUUAAUUGUAUUAGAAUAGUAAGAUUUUGUUUUGUAGACUUAAGCUUCUUGUUUUCCCAGUUUUCAUGUGCUCUAUAAUAUUUUAAUUUGGUCCAA